AUGGGGACACUUCAGACUCAAUUAAGUCUUACUUGUAGUAGCACCAUAGAAGAUCCAGAGGAAGAGAGACCUCAGAUUGAAGAUGUACUCGAAGCCAAGGCACAAGAUGAUCCAGAGCUCGAACAACCAAGUAAUAAAGUUGAAGACUCAUCAUCUACUACUCUUGAAGAAGCAAAAGAAGCUGUUGUAGAUGAACUUGAAGAACCAGAAUUUCAUUUGCCUAUUGUCAUACAAGAGCGUGAUGUAGCAGGUUUAUCUAAUCCUCUUGCUGACAUGAGUACAUAUGAAUUGUUUGCUACUACCUUGCAUUGCAUGAUGCCAUCUGUUAAAGUAGAUUUGAAAAAGUAUUUGCUUGGAUAUGAUCAUAUAUACCUUGUUAGUGGCAUUACUCACAUUAGGGAUGAUCAUAGUUACUUCAUCGUGCUAGACCUAUGCUUAAUGAAACAUAUCAUUCUCAUACUAGUCUUGAGCUUAAUGAUAAAUGUCAUCCUCAUGUUAGUGUUGACCUUGCUGAUUUCUAUCACCCUAAACAUGUGCUUUAUAGCUAUGCUUAUGUAA
rnacentral:rRNA from 1 species